GAUGAACGCUGGCGGCGUGCCUAAUACAUGCAAGUCGAGCGAAUGGAUUAAGAGCUUGCUCUUAUGAAGUUAGCGGCGGACGGGUGAGUAACACGUGGGUAACCUGCCCAUAAGACCGGGAUAGCUCCGGGAAACCGGGGCUAAUACCGGAUAACAUUUUGAACCGCAUGGUUCGAAAUUGAAAGGCGGCUUCGGCUGUCACUUAUGGAUGGACCCGCGUCGCAUUAGCUAGUUGGUGAGGUAACGGCUCACCAAGGCAACGAUGCGUAGCCGACCUGAGAGGGUGAUCGGCCACACUGGGACUGAGACACGGCCCAGACUCCUACGGGAGGCAGCAGUAGGGAAUCUUCCGCAAUGGACGAAAGUCUGACGGAGCAACGCCGCGUGAGUGAUGAAGGCUUUCGGGUCGUAAAACUCUGUUGUUAGGGAAGAACAAGUGCUAGUUGAAUAAGCUGGCACCUUGACGGUACCUAACCAGAAAGCCACGGCUAACUACGCGCCAGCCGCCGCCGUAA
rnacentral:rRNA from 1 species